rnacentral:lncRNA from 1 species
GAAAUUAUUUUAGGUUAAACAAGUUAGAUUUUUUUAGAAGUUAUUAGAAAAAUAUGAGUUUAAAAUAAAUUAGUAAUAAUAAAAGAAUUUAAAAUAUAUUAAUGUACAAAUUAUAAAAUAAAAAAGUUAUAUGAAAAAUAUUAAGUUUUUUAUUUACAAAAUAAAUAAAGGUUAUAGAAAAUAUCAAAUUAUUAGAUUAAUAGGUUUAUUAUUAUUAUUCAAUUAGAAAA